rnacentral:rRNA from 1 species
UACGUGGGGUGCAAGCGUUAAUCGGAAUUACUGGGCGUAAAGCGUGCGCAGGCGGUUCGUUAAGUUCGAUGUGAAAGCCCCGGGCUCAACCUGGGAACUGCAUUGGAAACUGGCGAGCUUGAAUGCGGCAGAGGGGGGUGGAAUUCCGCGUGUAGCAGUGAAAUGCGUAGAGAUGCGGAGGAACACCGAUGGCGAAGGCAGCCCCCUGGGCCGACAUUGACGCUCAGGCACGAAAGCGUGGGGAGCAAACAGG